rnacentral:ribozyme from 14 species
CCAUGUUCUUUCUUUCUGGGGGCUAGUUUUCCAAUUUAUUCAGCUUUCUUUCUACUUAAAUGUGGACGGGAAUUCUACCGUCUCACCGACAUAUUCGGGAGAUCUGCCGGACCAGAUUCUGGUGCAUUGAAAAAACAGAAAAAACGAAUGAACGCCGCCUUCUUUUCAUCUUACUUUUCCUUCAUUAAUGUUAUUAUUAUACUUAUAC